rnacentral:rRNA from 1 species
AGAGUUUGAUUAUGGCUCAGGAUGAACGCUAGCUACAGGCUUAACACAUGCAAGUCGAGGGCAGCAUGAAACUUAGCUUGCUAAGUUUGAUGGCGACCGGCGCACGGGUGAGUAACACGUAUCCAACCUACCGUUUACUACGGGAUAGCCUUCUGAAAAGGAGAUUAAUACCGUAUGGUAUUCUAAAGUUUCAUGACAUUAGAAUUAAAGGUUUACCGGUAAUCGAUGGGGAUGCGUUCCAUUAGAUAGUAGGCGGGGUAACGGCCCACCUAGUCAGCGAUGGAUAGGGGUUCUGAGAGGAAGGUCCCCCACAUUGGAACUGAGACACGGUCCAAACUCCUACGGGAGGCAGCAGUGAGGAAUAUUGGUCAAUGGGCGAGAGCCUGAACCAGCCAAAAGUAGCGUGAAGGAUGACUGCCCUAUGGGUUGUAAACUUCUUUUAUAAAGGAAUAAAGUGGUCCACGUGUGGAUUUUUGUAUGUACUUUAUGAAUAAGGAUCGGCUAACUCCGUGCCAGCCGCCGC